rnacentral:lncRNA from 1 species
CAUGUCUAUGACCUACGCCAUGACUCACGGCAACACCCCAUCCUUAACCCACAGAGCGAGGCCAGGGAUCAAACCUGCAACCUCAUGGUUCCUAGUCAGAUUCGUUUCCACUGUGCCACAAUGGAAACUCCCAACCAUAAAAUUUAAAUAAACAAAUUAAUUUAAAGUCUUCCUGUACUGUGAAAAUGAUGGGUGUCAGUAACCUAUAUUCUCUAAGCUUAGAAACAUCAGAAGAAAGACAAUUUAAAAAAAAAGAAAAAAGAUAGAGCCAAAUAUCCAACUGCCAAGAACUGUCAAGUAAAAAGGCAAACAUUGUACGUAGUAUGCUAUUGUUCGAGGUUUUUUAAAAGAGCAAAGAGCUAUCUAUGUACAUGUCAUCUUGCAUCCGCAGACUGACUUUGGCAGAAACUAUGACAAUGCUGCCUCUGGAGAGGGGGCUGGGAGGCUGGGGACAGGAAUGAGAGCGCGAGGUGUUUUAAAUCACUGCAUAUCCCCUUUUUACCUUUUGAAUUUUACAUAAUGUACAUGUUUUGCCUGUUUUAUAUUUGUAAAAUUAGAUUGACUAACUUGGGGGGAGGGGAAAGCAAUACAACAUUUAAAAACUAUGGAAACAUACCCCUUUCAGUGUGAAGCCACCACAGGUUUCUGAGCUGAUCUGUGACUUGGCUCUUUCCAAAAGCUGGGGUUGUGGCUUGUUCUCAUUGGAUGCUGAUUGGGGGUGGGGGCACAUUGGGAGUCAAUUUUGAGAGCUCUUCAAAGGAGAAAACCCACAAGAGUUAUUGGAGAAAUGAGACAAACUUUAAGUGAAAUCUUUGGAGUGGGGUGGAAGACGUGGCUAAGGAGUACAGCUGUGGGGGCUGGUUGUUUUCAGGAGGAAAAGCCUCGGACAAGUGAAAUGGCAGAGACUGGCUAUUGUGCCUUUGGAGGGGAUUACUUUGAAUGGUCUGGAAAAGCUGAGAGGACACCAGGUCUGAUCCCUGUCCCCAGCCUACACUGUGAUGUCAUGGUUGGUAUAUUCUUAGUUAUCUCUUUCUUCCCUGGGACUCAUAGCCUACUUUUGCUCCCUUUUAAGUUAAAAACUAAACCUUAAUUAUACAGAGAGAAUCACUAGAUGGGACAUGAUUCGCCAAGAAAGUGGUGGGGGGGAGGGAGGGUGAUAACAACACAUUGACCAUCGAUAAAUCAGCUCCCAGGCUGUCCUGUCCUGUGACCUAUGUAAUGGGUAUUCUCUAGACCCUCAGCUAGGCAGAAAGCUCUUCAAGACUUGGGAUUUUUUCUUUCUUCCCUGCCCAGUCCCUGUCCCACUUCUCUCACACUUGGUACUAUUAAGCUCUUAAUAAUAACAAUGACAAACACUGGGCACCUGCUCUGUGCAGUCCAGGUGUUGAAGUUUCAUUCUGGUCGACACAGGCUGGGCCCCUGAAGACCUCUGUCUUCUCAGCUCCAACACUUCCCUCUCUGGGAUCCGACCACACCAGCCUUUUUUCCGUUUCUUGAACCCACUGAACC